rnacentral:rRNA from 1 species
CUACGGGUGGCUCCAGGCGAGAAAACUUUGCAAUGUGCGAAAGCACGACAAGGUUAAUCCGAGUGGUUUCUGCUAAAGGAACCUUUUGACAGUCCUAGAAACACUGUUGAAUAAGGGGUGGGCAAGUUCUGGUGUCAGCCGCCGCGGUAAAACCAGCACCUCAAGUGGUCAGGAUGAUUAUUGGGCCUAAAGCAUCCGUAGCCGGCUCGGUAAGUUUUCGGUUAAAUCUGUACGCUCAACGUACAGGCUGCCGGGAAUACUGCAGAGCUAGGGAGUGGGAGAGGUAGACGGUACUCGGUAGGAAGGGGUAAUAUCCUUUGAUCUAUUGAUGACCACCUGUGGCGAAGGCGGUCUACCAGAACACGUCCGACGGUGAGGGAUGAAAGCUGGGGGAGCAAACCGGAUUAGAUACCCGAGUAGUC